rnacentral:rRNA from 1 species
UACAUGGGGUGCAAACGUUGCUCGGAAUUAUUGGGCGUAAAGCGCACGUAGGUGGUCGCUUAAGUCGGAUGUGAAAGCCCUCGGCUCAACCGAGGAAGGGCAUCCGAAACUGGCGUGCUUGAGUAUGGAAGAGGGUCUCGGAAUUCCCGGUGUAGAGGUGAAAUUCGUAGAUAUCGGGAGGAACACCAAUGGCGAAGGCGGAGACCUGGGCCAAUACUGACGCUGAGGUGCGAAAGCGUGGGGAGCAAACAGG